rnacentral:rRNA from 1 species
GCCUGACUGCCGGUGACAAACCGGAGGAAGGUGGGGAUGACGUCAAAUCAUCAUGCCCCUUAUGAUUUGGGCUACACACGUGCUACAAUGGACAAUACAAAGGGCAGCUAAACCGCGAGGUCAUGCAAAUCCCAUAAAGUUGUUCUCAGUUCGGAUUGUAGUCUGCAACUCGACUACAUGAAGCUGGAAUCGCUAGUAAUCGUAGAUCAGCAUGCUACGGUGAAUACGUUCCCGGGUCUUGUACACACCGCCCGUCACACCACGAGAGUUUGUA